GACGAACGCUGGCGGCGUGCUUAACACAUGCAAGUCGAACGAUGGAGAAGAGAAACGCGAACUUCGGUUCAAAUUUCACUUCGGAUUAGUGGCAGACGGGUGAGUAACGCGUGAGCAACCUACCUCUUACAAAGGGAUAGCCUCGGGAAACCGUGAUUAAUACCAUAUGACACAUUCAUAAGGCAUCUUAAGAAUGUUAAAGCUACGGCGGUAAGAGAUGGGCUCGCGUCCCAUUAGCUAGUUGGUGAGGUAACGGCCCACCAAGGCGACGAUGGGUAACCGGCCUGAGAGGGUGAACGGUCACAUUGGAACUGAGACACGGUCCAAACUCCUACGGGAGGCAGCAGUGGGGAAUAUUGCACAAUGGAGGGAACUCUGAUGCAGCGACGCCGCGUGAGCGAUGAAGGAAUUCGUUUCGUAAAGCUCUGUUCUAUGGGAAGAAAAGGACUGUACCAUAGGAGAAAGCCCCGGCUAAAUACGUG
rnacentral:rRNA from 1 species